GGGUUGUGAGGUUAAGCGACUAAGCGUACACGGUGGAUGCCCUGGCAGUCAGAGGCGAUGAAGGACGUGCUAAUCUGCGAAAAGCGUCGGUAAGGUGAUAUGAACCGUUAUAGCCGGCGAUGUCCGAAUGGGGAAACCCAGUGCAAUUCGUUGCACUAUCGUUAACUGAAUACAUAGGUUAACGAGGCGAACCGGGGGAACUGAAACAUCUAAGUACCCCGAGGAAAAGAAAUCAACCGAGAUUCCCCCAGUAGCGGCGAGCGAACGGGGAGCAGCCCAGAGUCUGAAUCAGCUUGUGUGUUAGUGGAACGGUCUGGAAAGUCCGACGGUACAGGGUGAUAGUCCCGUACACCAAAAUGCACAGGCUGUGAACUCGAAGAGUAGGGCGGGACACGUGGUAUCCUGUCUGAAUAUGGGGGGACCAUCCUCCAAGGCUAAAUACUCCUGACUGACCGAUAGUGAACCAGUACCGUGAGGGAAAGGCGAAAAGAACCCCGGCGAGGGGAGUGAAAAAGAACCUGAAACCGUGUACGUACAAGCAGUGGGAGCACCCUUUAGGGUGUGACUGCGUACCUUUUGUAUAAUGGGUCAGCGACUUAUAUUCUGUAGCAAGGUUAACCGUAUAGGGGAGCCGCAGGGAAACCGAGUCUUAACUGGGCGUUAAGUUGCAGGGUAUAGACCCGAAACCCGGUGAUCUAGCCAUGGGCAGGUUGAAGGUUGGGUAACACUAACUGGAGGACCGAACCGACUAAUGUUGAAAAAUUAGCGGAUGACUUGUGGCUGGGGGUGAAAGGCCAAUCAAACCGGGAGAUAGCUGGUUCUCCCCGAAAGCUAUUUAGGUAGCGCCUCGUGAACUCAUCUUCGGGGGUAGAGCACUGUUUCGGCUAGGGGGUCAUCCCGACUUACCAACCCGAUGCAAACUACGAAUACCGAAGAAUGUUAUCACGGGAGACACACGGCGGGUGCUAACGUCCGUCGUGAAGAGGGAAACAACCCAGACCGCCAGCUAAGGUCCCAAAGUCAUGGUUAAGUGGGAAACGAUGUGGGAAGGCACAGACAGCCAGGAUGUUGGCUUAGAAGCAGCCAUCAUUUAAAGAAAGCGUAAUAGCUCACUGGUCGAGUCGGCCUGCGCGGAAGAUGUAACGGGGCUAAACCAUGCACCGAAGCUGCGGCAGCGACACUAUGUGUUGUUGGGUAGGGGAGCGUUCUGUAAGCCUGCGAAGGUGGCCUGUGAGGGCUGCUGGAGGUAUCAGAAGUGCGAAUGCUGACAUAAGUAACGAUAAAGCGGGUGAAAAGCCCGCUCGCCGGAAGACCAAGGGUUCCUGUCCAACGUUAAUCGGGGCAGGGUGAGUCGACCCCUAAGGCGAGGCCGAAAGGCGUAGUCGAUGGGAAACAGGUUAAUAUUCCUGUACUUGGUGUUACUGCGAAGGGGGGACGGAGAAGGCUAUGUUAGCCGGGCGACGGUUGUCCCGGUUUAAGCAUGUAGGCGGAGGUUCCAGGUAAAUCCGGUACCUUUUAACGCUGAGGUGUGAUGACGAGGCACUACGGUGCUGAAGUAACAAAUGCCCUGCUUCCAGGAAAAGCCUCUAAGCAUCAGGUAACAUUAAAUCGUACCCCAAACCGACACAGGUGGUCAGGUAGAGAAUACCAAGGCGCUUGAGAGAACUCGGGUGAAGGAACUAGGCAAAAUGGUGCCGUAACUUCGGGAGAAGGCACGCUGAUA
rnacentral:rRNA from 1 species